rnacentral:rRNA from 1 species
AAUAGAUACCCAGGUAGUCCACGCCGUAAACGAUGAGUGCUAGGUGUUAGGGGGUUCGCCCCUUAGUGCCGAAGUUAACACAUUAAGCACUCCGCCUGGGGAGUACGGUCGCAAGACUGAAACUCAAAGGAAUUGACGGGGGCCCGCACAAGCGGUGGAGCAUGUGGUUUAAUUCGAAGCAACGCGAAGAACCUUACUAGGGCUUGACAUCCCUCUGACACACCUAGAGAUAGGUGCUCCCUUCGGGACAGAGGUGGCAGGUGGUGCAUGGUUGUCGUCAGCUCGUGUCGUGAGAUGUUGGGUUAAGUCCCGCAACGAGCGCAACCCUUGUCCUUAGUUGCCAGCAUUGAGUUGGGCACUCUAGGGAGACUGCCGGUGACAAACCGGAGGAAGGUGGGGAUGACGUCAAAUCAUCAUGCCCCUUAUGUCCUGGGCUACACACGUGCUACAAUGGCUGGUACAAAGGGCAGCGAACCCGCGAGGGGGGUAGCCGAAUCCCAAAAAGCCAGUCACAGUUCGGAUUGUAGGCUGCAACUCGCCUAC